AACGACCGCCCUGUAAUCAGGGAUCUGGUCUUUGCCCUCUAGUCUCUUGGCAGUUGGCCAAAUGCAGCCACUGCCCUGAAUGAGCACCCUGUAAACAGGGUACAGGUCUCAUCUGCUACUAUUUAUGGCACCCCCAUGACACUGUGUCCAGAGUUCCGGCCCUUCAAACAGCGCUUCCAACUUGCCUGGAAUUCUGCAGCCAAGUCUCCUGCUUUCUACUCACUUUUUGGACUCUCGGAGAUCUGACAUGCUACUGGUGACAUCAUGAAGCACAAGUGGAGAAGAAGGAAGUGUCAGGAAUGACACACACAGAGGAGAAAAGAAGAUGGAGGAAAAGGAAAGGAACUCUGGGCACAGUAACCAACCUCAAAUCAGGCCUCAGGUCAUGUAAUUAGACUGUAGGGGAAUCUCGAGCCUCUUAAUACCUUGAGCAGCGUGACCGCCCUGUAAGCUGGGUCCCGGUCUGUGCUAUUGUGUCGUUUUGACAUUCUGCUCCGAUAUCUGGCUAUUGAGGGUGACUGCCCUGUAAUCAGGGUGUAAGUCACUUCCCUCUGUCUCUGGAGGGGCAUUGAGCUUUUCGUUAAACUGAGCAAUGUGACCGCCCUGUAUCUGGGGUCCGGGUCUCUGCCCUCUUGUUCAUUUGGCUUUACGCCUUGCUCUGCCCCAUUAGUCAGCGUGACAACCCUGUAAUUAGGGUCUAUGUCACAAGCCUCUCUAGGAUGGGACAUAUUGAGCUCUUUGGUACUUUGACAGCUUGACCUUCCUGUAAUUCAGGUUAUGGUCUCCCCUAUUUGGCUAAUGCCAGCGACCACCCUGUAAUCAGGGUACAGGUUGCACCUCGCUUUUGAAAUCUGGGGGAUUAGAAUCAUGACCAUAACAUGGGCAGCUUGACCUCCCUGUAACUAGGGUUUGCGUCUCCGAGGCCCUUUGGGUCUCCGUUAUAGAGUUGGUGAAUGUGACUGCCCUGUAAUCAGGGUGCAAGUCACCUCCCCCUGUCUUUGGAGGGGCAUUGAGCUCUUUGUUCAACUGAGCAAUGUGACCGCCCUGUAACUGGGGUCUGGGUCUCUGCCCUCUUGCUCAUUUGGCUUUACGCCGUGCUCUGCCCCAUUAGUCAGCGUGACAACCCUGUAAUUAGGGUCCAUGUCACAAGCCUCUCUAGCAUGGGACAUAUUGAGAUCUUUGGUACUUUGACAGCUUGACCUUCCUGUAAUUCAGGUUAUGGUCUCUCCUCUUUGGCUAAUGCCAGCGACCACCCUGUAAUCAGGGUACAGGUUGCAUCUCGCUUUUGAAAUCUGGGGGAUUAGAAUCAUGACCAUAACAUGGGCAGCUUGACCUCCCUGUAACUAGGGUGUGCGUCUCCGAGGCCCUCUGGGUCUCUUGGCCUCGUGCUGUCUUCACAGCCUGCUGCCAACGACCGCCCUGUAAUCAGGGAUCUGGUCUUUGCCCUCUAGUCUCUUGGCACUUGGCCAAAUGCAGCCACUGCCCUGAAUGAGCACCCUGUAAACAGGGUACGGGUCUCAUCUGCUACUAUUUAUGGCACCCCCAUGACACUGUGUCCAGAGUUCCGGCCCUUCAAACAGCGCUUCCAACUUGCCUGGAAUUCUGCAGCCAAGUCUCCUGCUUUCUACUCACUUUUUGGACUCUCGGAGAUCUGACAUGCUACUGGUGACAUCAUGAAGCACAAGUGGAGAAGAAGGAAGUGUCAGGAAUGACACACACAGAGGAGAAAAGAAGAUGGAGGAAAAGGAAAGGAACUCUGGGCACAGUAACCAACCUCAAAUCAGGCCUCAGGUCAUGUAAUUAGACUGUAGGGGAAUCUCGAGCCUCUUAAUACCUUGAGCAGCGUGACCGCCCUGUAAGCUGGGUCCCGGUCUGUGCUAUUGUGUCGUUUUGACAUUCUGCUCCGAUAUCUGGCUAUUGAGGGUGACUGCCCUGUAAUCAGGGUGUAAGUCACUUCCCUCUGUCUUUGGAGGGGCAUUGAGCUUUUCGUUAAACUGAGCAAUGUGACCGCCCUGUAUCUGGGGUCCGGGUCUCUGCCCUCUUGUUCAUUUGGCUUUACGCCGUGCUCUGCCCCAUUAGUCAGCGUGACAACCCUGUAAUUAGGGUCUAUGUCACAAGCCUCUCUAGGAUGGGACAUAUUGAGCUCUUUGGUACUUUGACAGCUUGACCUUCCUGUAAUUCAGGUUAUGGUCUCCCCUAUUUGGCUAAUGCCAGCGACCACCCUGUAAUCAGGGUACAGGUUGCACCUCGCUUUUGAAAUCUGGGGGAUUAGAAUCAUGACCAUAACAUGGGCAGCUUGACCUCCCUGUAACUAGGGUUUGCGUCUCCGAGGCCCUUUGGGUCUCCGUUAUAGAGUUGGUGAAUGUGACUGCCCUGUAAUCAGGGUGCAAGUCACCUCCCCCUGUCUUUGGAGGGGCAUUGAGCUCUUUGUUCAACUGAGCAAUGUGACCGCCCUGUAACUGGGGUCUGGGUCUCUGCCCUCUUGCUCAUUUGGCUUUACGCCGUGCUCUGCCCCAUUAGUCAGCGUGACAACCCUGUAAUUAGGGUCCAUGUCACAAGCCUCUCUAGCAUGGGACAUAUUGAGAUCUUUGGUACUUUGACAGCUUGACCUUCCUGUAAUUCAGGUUAUGGUCUCUCCUCUUUGGCUAAUGCCAGCGACCACCCUGUAAUCAGGGUACAGGUUGCAUCUCGCUUUUGAAAUCUGGGGGAUUAGAAUCAUGACCAUAACGUGGGCAGCUUGA